rnacentral:tRNA from 1 species
GCGAGAAUAGCUCAGCUGGUAGAGCGCAACCUUGCCAAGGUUGAGGUCGCGAGUUCGAACCUCGUUUCUCGCUCCA